rnacentral:rRNA from 1 species
UUACCAGGUCUUGACAUCCUCUGACAACCCUAGAGAUAGGGCUUUCCCUUCGGGGACAGAGUGACAGGUGGUGCAUGGUUGUCGUCAGCUCGUGUCGUGAGAUGUUGGGUUAAGUCCCGCAACGAGCGCAACCCUUGAUCUUAGUUGCCAGCAUUUAGUUGGGCACUCUAAGGUGACUGCCGGUGACAAACCGGAGGAAGGUGGGGAUGACGUCAAAUCAUCAUGCCCCUUAUGACCUGGGCUACACACGUGCUACAAUGGACAGAACAAAGGGCUGCGAGACCGCAAGGUUUAGCCAAUCCCAUAAAUCUGUUCUCAGUUCGGAUCGCAGUCUGCAACUCGACUGCGUGAAGCUGGAAUCGCUAGUAAUCGCGGAUCAGCAUGCCGCGGUGAAUACGUUCCCGGGCCUUGUACACACCGCCCGUCACACCACGAGAGUUUGUAACACCCGAAGUCGGUGAGGUAACCUUUAUGGAGCCAGCCGCCGAAGGUGGGACAGAUGAUUGGGGUGAAGUCGUAACAAGGUAGCCGUAUCGGAAGGUGCGGCUGGAUCACCUCCUUUCUA